rnacentral:rRNA from 1 species
UACGAAGGGGGCGAGCGUUGUUCGGAAUUACUGGGCGUAAAGGGCGCGUAGGCGGCCGAUCAAGUCAGAUGUGAAAGUCCUGGGCUUAACCUGGGGACUGCAUUUGAUACUGAUUGGCUUGAAUGCAGGAGAGGAUAGCGGAAUUCCCAGUGUAGAGGUGAAAUUCGUAGAUAUUGGGAAGAACACCGGUGGCGAAGGCGGCAUCCUGGACCGACACUGACGCUGAGGAGCGAAAGCCAGGGGAGCAAACGGG